rnacentral:rRNA from 1 species
GAUGAACGCUGGCGGCGUGCCUAAUACAUGCAAGUCGAGCGAACAGACGAGGAGCUUGCUCCUCUGACGUUAGCGGCGGACGGGUGAGUAACACGUGGAUAACCUACCUAUAAGACUGGGAUAACUUCGGGAAACCGGAGCUAAUACCGGAUAAUAUAUUGAACCGCAUGGUUCAAUAGUGAAAGACGGUUUUCUGUCACUUAUAGAUGGAUCCGCGCCGCAUUAGCUAGUUGGUAAGGUAACGGCUUACCAAGGCAACGAUGCGUAGCCGACCUGAGAGGGUGAUCGGCCACACUGGAACUGAGACACGGUCCAGACUCCUACGGGAGGCAGCAGUAGGGAAUCUUCCGCAAUGGGCGAAAGCCUGACGGAGCAACGCCGCGUGAGUGAUGAAGGUCUUCGGAUCGUAAAACUCUGUUAUUAGGGAAGAACAAAUGUGUAAGUAACUAUGCACGUCUUGACGGUACCUAAUCAGAAAGCCACGGCUAACUACGUG